rnacentral:tRNA from 1 species
CAAGGUGUAACGCAGCUAGGUAGCGUGUCUGUUUUGGGAACAGAAUGCCACAGGUUCAAAUCCUGUCACCUUGA